GAGGGUUUAGUUUAAAAAAACAUUAAUUCGUCAAAUUAAAAUUAUUUCUAAUAAAAUAACUCUUU
rnacentral:tRNA from 1 species